UGAACAACGAACCCUUAAUAGCGGCUGCACCAUUAGGAUGUCCUGAUCCAACAUCGAGGUCCGUAAACCUUUUCGUCGAUUUGGGCUCUUGGAAAAGAUUGCGCUGUUAUCCCUAGGGUAACUUGGUUCGUUGAUCAGAUUAGUCUGGACCUAAUGUCAGGUG
rnacentral:rRNA from 1 species